AGACUCACCGUUGGAAAGGCUGUGUCAAAGGUUGUCCCUGCACCUCAGGGGCCGAGUUUCUACAGGCUCAGUUUCCGUUCUUUUUUAUUUAUACUGAUAGUACCUUUUCAUCUUACUGCGCAGACGCAACACGUGGUUAGCAGUGCCCACAUUUCAGUGACAGGAAGAAGACUGUUGUAGACAUGAAAGGAAGAGCACAUGGAGGAUGGAGCUCAAAACGGGGGUUGUCGUCUACCAGAUGGGAGAGGAGAUCCAAAAGUGAACCAGCGUCAGGGAGAACACUGAACAUCGCAUGUUUGUGCAUGUAUGAGUCUAUAUGCUUCUGCCUGUCCUAGGAAAUGUUUGAAGUAAGGAAUACAUGUUCGUACUGUC